rnacentral:rRNA from 1 species
GCUCAGUAACACGUGGAUAACCUACCCUUAGGACUGGGAUAACCUUGGGAAACUGAGGAUAAUACCGGAUAGGCAAUUAUUCCUGUAAUGGUUUUUUGUUUAAAUGUUUUUUUCGCCUAAGGAUGGGUCUGCGGCCGAUUAGGUAGUUGGUUAGGUAAUGGCUUACCAAGCCGUUGAUCGGUACGGGUUGUGAGAGCAAGAGCCCGGAGAUGGAACCUGAGACAAGGUUCCAGGCCCUACGGGGUGCAGCAGGCGCGAAACCUCCGCAAUGUGAGAAAUCGCGACGGGGGGAUUCCAAGUGCCAUUCUUAACGGGAUGGCUUUUCAUUAGUGUAAAGAGCUUUUGGAAUAAGGGCUGGGCAAGACCGGUGCCAGCCGCCGCGGUAACACCGGCAGCUCUAGUGGUAGCAGUUUUUAUUGGGCCUAAAGUGUCCGUAGCCGGUUUAAUAAGUCUCUGGUGAAAUCCUGUAGCUUAACUGUGGGAAUUGCUGGAGAUACUAUUAGACUUGAGAUCGGGAGAGGUUAGAGGUACUCCCAGGGUAGAGGUGAAAUUCUGUAAUCCUGGGAGGACCGCCUGUUGCGAAGGCUUCUAACUGGAACGGUUCUGACGGUGAGGGACGAAAGUUAGGGGCGCGAACCGGAUUAGAUACCCGGGUAGUCCUAACUGUAAACGAUGCGGACUUGGUGUUGGGGUGGCUUUGAGCUGCUCCAGUGCCGAAAGGAAAGCUGUUAAGUCCGCCGCCUGGAAGUACGGUCGCAAGACUGAAACUUAAAGGAAUUGGC